GACGGGAGAUGCAAGCGUUAUUCGGAUUUAUUGGGCGUAAAGGGUCUGUAGGUUGUUGGUUAAGUCUAUGGUCAAAUUCCGAAGCUCAACUUCGGGCCGGCACUAGAAACUAAUCAACUUGAGUACGUUAGAGGCAGGGGGAAUUCCCAGUGUAGCGGUGAAAUGCGUAGAUAUUGGGAGGAACAUCAAUGGCGAAGGCACCCUGCUAGGCCGAUACUGACACUGAAAGACGAAAGCUAGGGGAGCAAAUGGGAUUAGAUACCCCAGUAGUCCUAGCUGUAAACGAUGGGGACUAAACUUUGGUUUUAGACAGAGUUAAAGCUAACGCGUUAAGUCCCCCGCCUGGGGAGUACGCCCGCAAGAGUG
rnacentral:rRNA from 1 species